UUUUUUUUUGGUACCAGGGAUUGAACUCAGAACCUUGUGCUUUCGAGGCAGGCACUCGUGGUGGUAUUUCUGUAGGGAGGUGAGAAUCUGGGAUCCAAGAAAGCACUUUCAGGUACUUUAAUUCUACCUACGGUGUCAGAGUUUAGAAUGCUACUUUUCAAACUCUACUGUGCAUCAUAGAGACCUGGGGAUUCUAAUUCAGUUGGUCGAGGUGAGGCCUGAGCUUCUGCAUUUCUCCCACACUUGGAAGACUAAGAUUUAGAGCAGUGGUCUCAAACCUAAGCAUGUACCAGAAUCACAAGGAGGCCACAAAGAUGUGGAUGGCUUGGCCGCAGCUCCACAGAUCUUCAUGUAGUCAUACUGGGGUGGAGCCCAUGAGUUUACAUGUCGAACAAAAUCCCAGGUGACACUGCUUGUGCUGACCACCCCACCCUGCCCCCUCAACCACAUUUUAGAAACCACUGAGUUAGAACAUCCUUCAUGAAUGUAGAUACAGAAGAAAGAUGGCCAUAUGAAGACAGAGACAGAGAUCUUAAUUGUGCUGCCAUGAGCCAAGGAACACCUGCAGCUACCAAAACCUGGAAGGACAUUUACAAUCAGUUUGAUGACAAGAGAUGCUAACUUUGAUCUUCAGUUAAGCAAAAUGUUACCCCCCUGAAAGAAUUCCACUCUUCUUAUUAGAAGACCUGUACUAUAAUAAACUAUAUUCAAUUAUUAUAUUUUUAAUUCCAC